rnacentral:ncRNA from 1 species
UUAAAAACGAUGAACGAGGAAAGUAGUUGAUGUUGGCGUCUUCAGAGAGUUGGAAAUGCUGGGAACCAAUGGCAAUGACGUUAAUGAAGUUCCCUCCGGAGUUGAUCUGCUGAACCGGCGCGAUAUUAAGUGCGAUAUGCGUCCCGACAUUAGGCAAAUACGGUGUUCCUCAUCGUUAAAUAAGGAAAGAGCAGCGUGAUAACCGUUUUGCUCGACAAGGUGGAUUAGUAACUAAUCAAAUUAGGUGGUACCGCGAGUCAGACUCGUCCUUUUU